rnacentral:rRNA from 1 species
UAGGGAAUCUUCGGCAAUGGGGGCAACCCUGACCGAGCAACGCCGCGUGAGUGAAGAAGGUUUUCGGAUCGUAAAGCUCUGUUGUAAGUCAGGAACGGGUGUGAGAGUGGAAAGUUCACACUGUGACGGUAGCUUACCAGAAAGGGACGGCUAACUACGUGCCAGCAGCCGCGGUAAUACGUAGGUCCCGAGCGUUGUCCGGAUUUAUUGGGCGUAAAGCGAGCGCAGGCGGUUUGAUAAGUCUGAAGUUAAAGGCUGUGGCUCAACCAUAGUUCGCUUUGGAAACUGUCAAACUUGAGUGCAGAAGGGGAGAGUGGAAUUCCAUGUGUAGCGGUGAAAUGCGUAGAUAUAUGGAGGAACACCGGUGGCGAAAGCGGCUCUCUGGUCUGUAACUGACGCUGAGGCUCGAAAGCGUGGGGAGCGAACAGGAUUAGAUACCCUGGUAGUCCACGCCGUAAACGAUGAGUGCUAGGUGUUGGAUCCUUUCCGGGAUUCAGUGCCGCAGCUAACGCAUUAAGCACUCCGCCUGGGGAGUACGACCGCAAGGUUGAAACUCUAAAGUGAAUUGAC